ACUCCUGACUUUAAGUGAUUCACCCACCUCAGCCUCCCAAAGUGCUGGGAUUACAGGUGUGAGCCACCGUGCCUGUUCUGUAUCAUAAUAUUCUACUGAGGGAGAGAUUACAGGAAUAAGCAGGGAGUUGUCAGCUUAAAAUGUAGUAAACAUAGUAAAAGAAAGACUGAGUGCUUGAAGUUGGCAGAGUUUAUCUUGCCUUACUGAGGGCAGAAAUGAAUCUGAUGAUAUGAACUCUACAGAUUUUUUUUUUUUCUUUUGAGACUCCAUCUCAAAAAGAUAAAUAAUAAAAUAAAAUACAUAUGUAUGUGUGUAUGUGUGUGUGUAUAUAUAGUUUACUCUCACUAACUUACAUGUACUCUGAACACCCAUGAAAAUUCAGUUGUAGCAUAAAACACAUUUAUAGCAUAAAAGAGCAAAAUAUUUCAAAUUAACUUGCUUAAACUACUUAAAGACAAAGUUCAUUUGAAAUAUUUCGUCAUUUUUUCACUGGUUAUGUGAAAAACCACAUAACAUACAUACACAUACAUACACACUUUGGAAUCAAGUGAGAGAAGGACAAGUUUUGAUGCCAUUAUUUCUGUGUGGUACUCCAGUAAAUAGACUUUCUGUUUUAGGGAAGAAGGAUAGUGUUCCCUCAAGUAUAUUAGGUUCAACAUUAAUUUGCUUCAUAACUUUCAUU